CUUAAUGUGGCAGAAGAAGUGCAAUGAAUUUAAGCUUCAUUUAUAAAGAAUUACUCUUUUAUUAAGA
rnacentral:tRNA from 1 species